rnacentral:rRNA from 1 species
UACGUAGGGUGCGAGCGUUGUCCGGAAUUAUUGGGCGUAAAGGGCUCGUAGGCGGUUUGUCGCGUCGGUAGUGAAAUCCACUGGCUUAACUGGUGGCUUGCUUUCGAUACGGGCAGACUGGAGGUAUGCAGGGGAGAACGGAAUUCCUGGUGUAGCGGUGAAAUGCGCAGAUAUCAGGAGGAACACCAAUAGCGAAGGCAGCUCGCUGGGACGGUAUUGACGCUAAGGCGCGAAAGCGUGGGGAGCAAACAGG